AUAUUCUGCAAUGCGCGCAAGCGUGACAGAUUGAACCAGAGUGUCCUUCAAAGAAGGACUUUUAUCGAAUGUAAAAAGUUCGAUGAAUAAGGACUGGGUAAGACGAGUGCCAGCCGCCGCGGUAAUACUCGCGGUCCAAGUCGCAGCCAUUUUUAUUGGGUCUAAAACAUCCGUAGCUUGCUUAAUAAGUUUCUUGUGAAAUCUUAUGUCUUAAACAUGAGGCGUGCAGGAAGUACUGUCAAGCUAGAGACCGGAAGACGUAAGAAGUACGUUCGAAGUAACGGUAAAAUGUGUUAAUCUCGAACGGACUCACAAUAGCGAAGGCAUCUUACGAGUACGGUUCUGACAGUCAGGGAUGAAGGCUAGGGGCGCAAAACGG
rnacentral:rRNA from 1 species